rnacentral:rRNA from 1 species
GACGAACGCUGGCGGCGUGCUUAACACAUGCAAGUCGAACGCAAAGGCCCUGCUGUUGCGGGCUGCUCGAUUGGCGAACAGUUGCGUAACACGUGGGUAACCUUACCUAAACUGCGGGAUAGCGUCAGGAAACUGGGGCUAAUACCGGCUAAUACCUCCUACUGCUUGUUGUUGGUUGGAAAUUUUCGGCGAUUGGGGAUGGACUCGCUGCUUAGCGGCUCUUUGGUGAGGUAGUGGCUAACCAAGGCGUUGACUGGUAGCCGGCCUGAGAGGGUGACAGGCCACAGUGGCACAGGGAUGGGGCCCAGACUGAUUCGGGAGGCAGGAGUGGGGAAUAGUCCACAAUAGGCGGCAGCAUGAUAGAGCAACGCCGCGUGCGAGAUGACGGCUGUCGGGUAGUAAACCGUUUUAGAGUGUGACGAAGACUGAGUGACGGUAAUGUGUCAAGAAGCAACGGCUAACUACGUG